rfam:Xenopus laevis strain J chromosome 5S, whole genome shotgun sequence.
ACCAUCCUUGUCUUGGGGUGAGCUGCUGUUCAGUGAGCGACCAGUGAGAAUAGCACUGCUGACACCACUGACAACACAUUGUCAUCUCUGUUGUACUUGCAAUAGAAAGGUGCAAUUUUUGGAACC